rnacentral:rRNA from 1 species
UACGUAGGGUGCGAGCGUGUCCGGAAUUAUUGGGCGUAAAGAGCUUGUAGGCGGUUUGUCGCGUCUGCCGUGAAAAUUCGAGGCUCAACCUCGAACUUGCGGUGGGUACGGGCAGACUAGAGUGUGGUAGGGGAGACUGGAAUUCCUGGUGUAGCGGUGAAAUGCGCAGAUAUCAGGAGGAACACCGGUGGCGAAGGCGGGUCUCUGGGCCGAUAUUGACGCUGAGGAGCGAAAGCGUGGGGAGCGAACAGG